GAUGAACGCUGGCGGCGUGCCUAAUACAUGCAAGUCGAGCGAACAGACGAGGAGCUUGCUCCUCUGACGUUAGCGGCGGACGGGUGAGUAACACGUGGAUAACCUACCUAUAAGACUGGGAUAACUUCGUGAAACCGGAGCUAAUACCGGAUAAUAUAUUGAACCGCAUGGAUCAAUAGUGAAAGACGGUUUUGCUGUCACUUAUAGAUGGAUCCGCGCCGCAUUAGCUAGUUGGUAAGGUAACGGCUUACCAAGGCAACGAUGCGUAGCCGACCUGAGAGGGCGAUCGGCCACACUGGAACUGAGACACGGUCCAGACUCCUACGGGAGGCAGCAGUAGGGAAUCUUCCGCAAUGGGCGAAAGCCUGACGGAGCAACGCCGCGUGAGUGAUGAAGGUCUUCGGAUCGUAAAACUCUGUUAUUAGGGAAGAACAAAUGUGUAAGUAACUCUGCACGUCUUGACGGUACCUAAUCAGAAAGCCACGGCUAACUACGUG
rnacentral:rRNA from 1 species